rnacentral:rRNA from 1 species
CAAGAACUCGUGAACCGGGGCCUGACAAUGCAAGUCGCACCCGGUAACCUUAAAGCUUGCUCUUGCGGGUGGCAAGUGGCGGACGGGUGAGGAAUGCAUCGGAAUCUACUCUGUCGUGGGGGAUAACGUAGGGAAACUUACGCUAAUACCGCAUACGACCUACGGGUGAAAGCAGGGGAUCUUCGGACCUUGCGCGAUUGAAUGAGCCGAUGCCCGAUUAGCUAGUUGGCGGGGUAAGAGCCCACCAAGGCGACGAUCGGUAGCUGGUCUGAGAGGAUGAUCAGCCACACUGGAACUGAGACACGGUCCAAACUAAUACGGGAGGCAGCAGUGGGGAAUAUUGGACAAUGGGCGCAAGCCUGAUCCAGCCAUACCGCGUGGGUGAAGAAGGCCUUCGGGUUGUAAAGCCCUUUUGUUGGGAAAGAAAAGCAGCCGGUUAAUACCCGGUUGUUCUGACGGUACCCAAAGAAUAAGCACCGGCUAACUUCGUGCCAGCAGCCGCGGUAAUACGAAGGGUGCAAGCGUUACUCGGAAAUUACUGGGCGUAAAGCGUGCGUAGGUGGUUGUUUAAGUCUGUCGUGAAAGCCCUGGGCUCAACCUGGGAAUGGCGAUGGAAACUGGGCAACUAGAGUGGGG